GAUGAACGCUAGCUACAGGCUUAACACAUGCAAGUCGAGGGGAAACGGCAUCGAAAGCUUGCUUUUGAUGGGCGUCGACCGGCGCACGGGUGAGUACGCGUAUCCAACCUGCCCAUCACUUGGGAAUAACCUUGCGAAAGUAAGACUAAUGCCCAAUGACAUCCCACGAAGGCAUCCGAAUGGGAUUAAAGAUUUAUCGGUGAUGGAUGGGGAUGCGUCUGAUUAGCUUGUUGGCGGGGUGACGGCCCACCAAGGCAACGAUCAGUAGGGGUUCUGAGAGGAAGGUCCACCACAUUGGAACUGAGACACGGUCCAAACUCCUACGGGAGGCAGCAGUGAGGAAUAUUGGUCAAUGGGCGAGAGCCUGAACCAGCCAAGUAGCGUGCAGGAUGACGGCCCUAUGGGUUGUAAACUGCUUUUAUAAGGGAAUAAAGUGGGUCACGUGUGACUUUUUGCAUGUACCUUAUGAAUAAGGACCGGCUAAUUCCGUG
rnacentral:rRNA from 1 species